ensembl:lncRNA
CUGCGUUCUUCAUCGACGCACGAGCCGAGUGAUCCACCGCUAAGAGUUGUCUGGCUUUCGGGCACCGCUCUCACGCCGAGCGGCCCCUCGCUUUUGGCAUCUGGCGCCGAGGACGCGCGGACGCGCGGCCCGGCUUCGACCGUACGAGCACACAACGGAGAGAAAAGAAAAGAAAAGAGCCAGCGGGAGGAACCCGCGCUCCGAAGGCCGGCCCCAGAAGGCCGGGGGGAGCCCGCGCCCCCGACCGCCUCCCCCCACCGCGAGGGGAAGACGCCGACCUCACGUGCCGUCCUUCGGAGGCGGCCCAGGCGCCCGGGCUCGGCCCGGCCUCCGCGCGGAGGGGCCGGGCGGCGCGCGCCGGAACGCGGGGGGGGGGCACGGCGGCCCGCCCGCUCUCGCUUUCACGGGACGACGCAACGGCAACGACCCCCACACGCACGCGGCCGGGGGCGCGGCCGUCGGCCCCCGCACGCGCCGGCUUCCCUCCUCGGCCCCGCCGCGGGGCUCGCGCGGAGCGCGCCGCCGCGCCGCCGGCGGCCGGCUCUCUCCCCAGCGGCCUUCCCGAUCCCCGCUCGAGACGGCACGCGACGACCGCCGGCCCGCCGGCGCGCCUCCCCGCGGGACCGCUCCCGCCAGGCGGGCGAGCGCCCCGGCGGACGCGCUCCGCCGCCGGCCCCGGAGGCGGACGCCACCGAGACCCGAGCCGGCGUCGCCAGCGCCCGAGGCCCGCCGGACGGCGGGACCCCGCCGCCGCCGGGGCCGCACUCCCGGGACCGCCGCCGCCUCGCACCGUCGUGGGCCCCUCGCCUCGGGCACGCGCCCGGCGGAAGGCGUACGGCGCUGAGCCGGGGGCAACGCCCGCUCUCCUCGCUCUCGCGCGGAGACCGGGCGGGGAAGCGCCCCCGCGGCCGCCCGCACGCCUUCCCCUUCGGCCCACACGCGGCCGCGGCGAGGGCGACGGAGGACGCGACGAGCGGGGCCCGGGCCGGGACCGCCGCCGGCGACGGCGGGCGCCUUCCGGCCGGACCGUCCCCGCAGGGAAAGUGGGGACACCCGUCGAGCGGCGCCGCCGCCGCUCGGCACGGGGGGUCGCCCGCGCUCGCGGGCCUCCGCCGACGGAGGGCCCGCCGAGCGCCCGCCCCCCGGGCGGGCGGGCGGUCGAGCCAGGGGACGGCCGGCGGACGGCGCCGCCGGUGCCUUCGAGGAGGAAAGAAAAGGCCGUCGAGGGGAGAGAGGGGCCGGCCGCGCCGGACGCGGCGCCGCGCCGCACGCGAGAGACCGCGGCGGCGGCGGCCGAGGAAGAGAGAGCGCGGCGGGCCCCGGCGGCCGCGACCCCGCGGCCGAGGAAGGAGCAGAGAGAGAGAGCGCGCGCUCUUCUCUCUGCCGGCGUCGCCCGUUACGACGAGGCGAGCGGGUCGGCCCCGCGGCCGACCGCGCGCCGCGGCCCCUCCGCCGAGGCCGGGCCACGGAGGGGGGGGGGCAGGGCGCCCCUCCCCGGCGCGGCGCGGUUACCCCCCGCGCGCGCGCGGCGGGACGACGACGACGACGACGACGACGGAGGAGCGCGGCCGGUGGCGACGGACACCACCGCAGGGGAUCGGCGGGAGUAGCUGCUCCCCACCCCUCAGUGGCGCCGCACCACCGCCCGGCAACACCUGCCGCCGCCGCCGCCGGCACCGCCGCCGCCACGGCGGGCCGCGCCGAGCCGCCCGAGUCUUUAAACCGCCGCCCCGGCUCGCCGGCCCCUUUCGGCCCCCCGCAACAGCGUUUGACGACGCCGACGGGAAAACCUGGGGGACCGCCGAGGCGCGGAGCGCUAGGUACCUGGCCCUGGGGCGAGGGAAACGACCUGCAUGGCCCCGCCGGGGUGCCUCCCCUCGCUGCCGCCCUCGGGGAGCGUCCACCGGCGGGGGCGCACCCGACGUCUGCCGCCACCACCGCGGCGUCCUUUCUCGGGGCCCGGGGUUU